AAGUAAUGUGACAGGCGCUAAAUGUGCUGGCAAUCGAUUUGAUUUGCAAUCUCGAUGCGAAUUUAAUUGAAAUGAAAAAUAGCCAGCCCCCCUUUCAGGCAGUGGGCGUGGACUCGCGGAGGCGUCUGGUGGUUGGUGGCUGGUGAAAAGGCCAGCUGUAAGGAAGUCAGUCGGUCGCCAAUGCAAAUGCAAAUGGAAAUGGAAAUUCAAAUGCCACACAGCCCACGCAAAAUUAUGAAAAAUUAUUAGACACUGGCCACUAGAGAGGGAGUUGGAAGCUGGACGCUGGAAGCCGCAAGGAGCCAUGGCUCCAUGGAAAAAAGUCGAUUUCACGCUGGCUAAUGAAACAAAUUAUAAGUGGCCGCCUGUCGUCGGGCAUUUUGCGGAAACACAUAUCGGAUGGGAUUAGACGGCCCUGCAGGGAUCCCCAUGUGGCUAGUGGCUGGUGGCUGCUGGCGCCACCACUUGUCGCCGUGCAAGUGGGUCAGUGGUGCAAGUGGUGCUGCUAUCGAUGCUUACC